GACGAACGCUGGCGGCGUGCCUAAUACAUGCAAGUAGAACGCUGAAGAGAGGAGCUUGCUCUUCUUGGAUGAGUUGCGAACGGGUGAGUAACGCGUAGGUAACCUGCCUGGUAGCGGGGGAUAACUAUUGGAAACGAUAGCUAAUACCGCAUAAAAUGGAUUAUCGCAUGAUAAUCCAUUGAAAGGUGCAAAUGCAUCACUACCAGAUGGACCUGCGUUGUAUUAGCUAGUUGGUGGGGUAACGGCUCACCAAGGCGACGAUACAUAGCCGACCUGAGAGGGUGAUCGGCCACACUGGGACUGAGACACGGCCCAGACUCCUACGGGAGGCAGCAGUAGGGAAUCUUCGGCAAUGGACGGAAGUCUGACCGAGCAACGCCGCGUGAGUGAAGAAGGUUUUCGGAUCGUAAAGCUCUGUUGUAAGAGAAGAACGAGUGUGAGAGGGAAAGUUCACACU
rnacentral:rRNA from 1 species